rnacentral:rRNA from 1 species
GUCUUUUUGUUUAUAAUUUAAAGUUUGGCCUGCCCACUGAAUAUUAAAGGGCCGCGGUAUUUUGACCGUGCUAAGGUAGCAUAAUCAUUAGUUUUUUAAUUGAAAGCUGGAAUGAAUGGUUGGAUGAGAAAAUAACUGUCUCUAAUUUAAUUAUAUUGAAUUUUAAUUUUAAGUAAGAAUGCUUAAAUAAGUUUUAAAGACGAGAAGACCCUAUAGAGUUUUAUAUAAAAUUUGAUUGAGAAUUUUAGAAAUUUAAAUUUUAAUUGAAAAUUAUAUUUAGUUGGGGUGAUUAAAAAAUUAAAUUAACUUUUUUUUUAUUAAUACAUAAAUAAGUGAAUAAUUGAUCCAUAAAUAAUGAUUAUAAGAUUAAAUUACCUUAGGGAUAACAGCGUAAUUUUUUUUUAGAGUUCAAAUUAAAAAAAAAGAUUGCGACCUCGAUGUUGGAUUAAAAUUUAUAUUAGGUGAAGAAGCUUAAUAAUUAGGUCUGUUCGACCUUUAAAAUUUUACAUGA